GACGAACGCUGGCGGCGUGCCUAAUACAUGCAAGUAGAACGCUGAAGGAGGAGCUUGCUUCUCCGGAUGAGUUGCGAACGGGUGAGUAACGCGUAGGUAACCUGCCUGGUAGCGGGGGAUAACUAUUGGAAACGAUAGCUAAUACCGCAUAAGAGUAGAUGUUGCAUGACAUUUGCUUAAAAGGUGCAAUUGCAUCACUACCAGAUGGCCCUGCGUUGUAUUAGCUAGUUGGUGGGGUAACGGCUUACCAAGGCGACGAUACAUAGCCGACCUGAGAGGGUGAUCGGCCACACUGGGACUGAGACACGGCCCAGACUCCUACGGGAGGCAGCAGUAGGGAAUCUUCGGCAAUGGACGGAAGUCUGACCGAGCAACGCCGCGUGAGUGAAGAAGGGUUUCGGAUCGUAAAGCUCUGUUGUAAGAGAAGAACGAGUGUGAGAGUGGAAAGUUCACACUGUGACGGUAUCUUACCAGAAAGGGACGGCUGACUACGUG
rnacentral:rRNA from 1 species